ensembl:lncRNA
UUCCUGUGGUGUUGGGGGUGACAGUAUUCCUCUCCUCUGGUUCCUGUGGUGUUGGGGGGUGACAGUAUUCCUCUCCUCUGGUUCCUGUGGUGUUGGGGGUGACAGUAUUCCUCUCCUCUCCUCUGGUUCCUGUGGUGUUGGGGGUGACAUAUUCCUCUCCUCUGGUUCCUGUGGUGGUGGUGUGUAAAGGUCAACGUGAAAGGCCUCUUUGUUUCAGCGUAGAGCCCCAGUCUGAGGCGAGAGGAGAAGAGACUGACUGCACUGAAUACACUACUGGGAAUGACUGGCCACUGGACAAGAGCACAGGAAUCUGGAAAUGGAGUUAUAGCUUUGAUUGGCAUGUAAAAUUAAUCCGGUGUUCCCAGAGGACUCAUUUUUCCAUUUUCUUUUCCCCUCAAAUUAAAUACGAAAAGAGUUAAAUGCUAUUUAUCUCUGAACUGUGUGCCACUGCCUACCACACUGCUGUUGAUGCUACCCUGGUAGCUGUGUCUGUUAAGACAACAUUCAGAGGCUGUUAAUGCUACCCUGGUAGCUGUGUCUGUCAAGACAACAUUCAGAGGCUGCUAAUGCUACCCUGGUAGCUGUGUCUGUCAAGACAACAUUCAGAGGCUGCUAAUGCUACCCUGGUAGCUGUGUCUGUCAAGACAACAUUCAGAGGCUGCUAAUGCUACCCUGGUAGCUGUGUCUGUCAAGACAACAUUCAGAGGCAGUCGUUUUUGUCUCUGCUUUUCUCUCAAGACGGAAAUGUACCUUGAAUGUCUUUCAAUAAGUUGACCCAAAUAGACAAUUGCUAUUCCAGACAGCGCUGUGUGCUCAGUUGAAUGUGUGAAUUCCAGCUGAACGCCAGAGGCCCCAGAAUCACUCACUGGGAAAUGCAAACAGAGUUCCUAUGGAUACACUGCUGUGCUGCAAACCUCUCUCUCUCUCUCCCUGACUCUCCCUCUCCCUGCCUCUCUCUCCCUGUCCCUGACUCUCUCUCUCCCUCUCCCUGACUCUCUCUCUCCCUCUCCCUGACUCUCUCUCUCCCUCUCCCUGACUCUCUCUCUCCCUCUCCCUGACUCUCUCUCUCCCUCUCCC